rnacentral:rRNA from 1 species
AUUGAACGCUGGCGGCGUGCUUAACACAUGCAAGUCGAGCGGUAACAGGCGUAGCAAUACGUGCUGACGAGCGGCGAACGGGUGAGUAAUGCUUCGGAAUCUUCCUUGUAGUGGGGAAUAACCUGGGGAAACUCAGGCUAAUGCCGCAUACGAACCAUGGUUGAAAGCGGGGGAUCGCAAGACCUCGCGCUAUAAGAUGAGCCGAAGUCGGAUUAGCUAGUUGGUGGGGUAAAGGCCUACCAAGGCGACGAUCCGUAGCUGGUCUGAGAGGACGACCAGCCACACUGGGACUGAGACACGGCCCAGACUCCUACGGGAGGCAGCAGUGGGGAAUAUUGGACAAUGGGGGCAACCCUGAUCCAGCGACGCCGCGUGUGUGAAGAAGGCCUGCGGGUUGUAAAGCACUUUUAGUGGGGACAAAAAGCCGAGGGCUAAUACCUUUCGGUCUUGAUUUAACCCAAAGAAAAAGCACCGGCUAACUCUGUGUCAGCCGCCGCGGUAAAAC